rnacentral:rRNA from 1 species
GAGUUUGAUCCUGGCUCAGAUUGAACGCUGGCGGCAGGCCUAACACAUGCAAGUCGAGCGGAUGAAGGGAGCUUGCUCCUGGAUUCAGCGGCGGACGGGUGAGUAAUGCCUAGGAAUCUGCCUGGUAGUGGGGGAUAACGUCCGGAAACGGGCGCUAAUACCGCAUACGUCCUGAGGGAGAAAGUGGGGGAUCUUCGGACCUCACGCUAUCAGAUGAGCCUAGGUCGGAUUAGCUAGUUGGUGGGGUAAAGGCCUACCAAGGCGACGAUCCGUAACUGGUCUGAGAGGAUGAUCAGUCACACUGGAACUGAGACACGGUCCAGACUCCUACGGGAGGCAGCAGUGGGGAAUAUUGGACAAUGGGCGAAAGCCUGAUCCAGCCAUGCCGCGUGUGUGAAGAAGGUCUUCGGAUUGUAAAGCACUUUAAGUUGGGAGGAAGGGCAGUAGUUAAUACCUUGCUGUUUUGACGUUUACCAACAGAAUAAGCACCGGCUAACUUCGUGCCAGCAGCCGCGGUAACG